rnacentral:rRNA from 1 species
UACGUAGGGUGCGAGCGUUUGUCCGGAAUCAUUGGGCGUAAAGGGCUCGUAGGCGGCCAACUAAGUCAGACGUGAAAUCCCUCGGCUUAACCGGGGAACUGCAUCUGAUACUGGAUGGCUUGAGUUCGGGAGAGGGAUGCGGAAUUCCAGGUGUAGCGGUGAAAUGCGUAGAUAUCUGGAGGAACACCGGUGGCGAAGGCGGCAUCCUGGACCGACACUGACGCUGAGGAGCGAAAGCCAGGGGAGCAAACGGGG